rfam:Wolbachia endosymbiont of Drosophila ananassae gdan_64, whole genome shotgun sequence.
GAUUUCUCUGCUAGGAAAGGUGUCAUCCGAGUAGCUGACACUGGGAUCCAGGAAAGUUUGCUUGUUUACAAGCAAACUAGCAUAGAAAGUGGUUACAACGUUUUCGAUGAGAUUAUAUGGAAAACUGGAUUCCAGUGUCAAGCACUGGAAUGACAUCACAGGGGCACUGGGAUGA